rnacentral:lncRNA from 12 species
GCUUGAUUUAUAGUAGAUAAUUGGAUAUGUAACAAGGAUUAUAAUAAGGCGUCUAAAUAAGGCUGUAUAUGUGUGUGUGCGUGUGUGCGUGCGUGUGUGUAUGCAUAGUAUCAGCUAACCAGAUGGCUGUCUAACCUAAAGACAGCGUAGAUAUUAUUUGUAAGAUUUUUUUUUACUAUUAAUGGAUUAUGCACAGGAGGCUUGGUAAUUAUAAAAAAUAUUGAUGCAAGCAGGAAAUCUUGUCUUGGCACAGUCGUGGUAUGUAGUGCUCAGAGCAGGAGUAACAGGACACACACAUUUGUCUUCUGCUUGCUACUCAUACAACUGUCGUUCCCAACUGUCGCGGAUCCUUCUGGUUGCAGAAUUCCAGCGCUCACAUAGUAACAAGGGAGUCAAAACAGUCCCUCCCUCCUGAGCUCUAAUCGCACAACAGUUUCAUAAUCAUGUUCUCUCAGAAAGUUCCAUGGUCCACCCCUCUGGAACAAAAUAAAAUGAUUUCCAGAAAGAGGGCCUUUGUGGAACCAGCUCACUGCAGUCCAUUCUAGAGUAAAGAAUCUGUGAUUUUGUUGGUUCUACUUCAAAGACUGGUGAAUUUUCUAAUCAGUGAAGAAGACAUUCAGUUGACCCACUCUAGCGUUGGAAGAUCUGCCAUUUAAAGAAUGAAGUGGAAGUAUAUAAAACAUGUAUAGGCUAGCUCAAACUUUAUCCAUGUCCCCUACUCCACCUCAGCUGUACCAGAAGGCUUGUGGAUGAAUGAUAAAGAAUGAUUUGUUAUGGCAUGAAAAUCAUCAUUUCAAGAACUUCUUGGCAGGAGCUAAGUGUUCCCAGGUGCCCUGUAUGCUGGUUGGACAAACUCACAUGGUUUUGGCCACUGAGAGUCUCACUCAGAGCAACUGAGAGAAGCUGUCAGGAGCCCAGAAACUACCCACUGCGGAUACAGAUGAGCUCAGGUACAUGCAGGAUCUGGAGCAUCUGCUAUACUAACCGGAUUAAGCUUCCUUGAAAAAAAUUCAGGUGAAUGUUGUCUUAUGAUGAGUGCUCUGGAGAUACUCUGAAAUUGGAUGUUAGCAUAACAGGGGUACUCAUCUGAGCAAUACUGAGCUGGUCUCAGAUAAAAUAAAGAUUUGGAAGAGAAGAUGAUUGUCUCUCUG